rnacentral:lncRNA from 13 species
GCAUCGGAUGACCCUACAAACAAAGCAUUAUGACAUCGUCAGAGCCUGCUUUGUAAGGAAAAAAGUUACAAGAAUUCUGACACUCAUCACAGUGGAGCCAAUAUCUGAUCCCUUGGGUUACAUAUAUGUGAAAAGUAUCUUCACGGGAGGGAAAAGUCAAUGCCAGUCUUAUCCUUUCUAGCAGUUAGAAAUGACCAUCGGAUGACGAGGAGAUUUUUUUCUCAUCUCACAAACUACCCACAUCUCCACUUCCCUGGAAGAAAAAAAAUCCGGACAUACACGAGCUGUGUAUAUGCCUGAGAUCUUCCCUUCCAAGGUUGAACGAGACAUCUACAUUGGUGGUCUUGAGGACUCCCGCAGGUCGGUAGCCCCCCGGCAGACGUGCCGGACCCCAACAGGCAGGCUACUGUACACGUGGACUGCUCACCCCAAGAGAAGAAUGAGGAGAAAGGAUGCAAUCCCCCAGAGUAUGUCUAUGUAAAAAACCCUUAGUUAAAGGUCAAACCAUUCACUUGAAUCUUCAAAUGGCCUGCUUGGUCUCCUUUCAAGUGUACUUUAGUUCCUUUUGUUCCUACUCUAAAACCUUUAAAUAAGCUGAAACUUGCCUCACAAAAAUAAAAAAUUUAAAAAAAUAAUAAAAAGAAGGAAG